rnacentral:lncRNA from 1 species
GGUAGAUUAGAGUCUAAAUAAUCUCAUGGAGAGACCAAGCUUUGGCAAUGCUUGGUCUCUACCUUUCUUUCAUUCGAUUCUCUUCACCAUUCUCUAAACGAUUCUAUAAGGGGUUUUGUGUUCUGUUUUGGUGUGAGAGAGCUGCUGCCUCUCAUACUUAUUCUUGAGUAUACACAGCUCAUAUUGGCGUGUAUAACUCUUUAUUCUACUUAAGAACAGCUCUCAUUGAGCUCGUUUCNNNNNNNNNNNNNNNNNNNNNNNNNNNNNNNNNNNNNNNNNNNNNNNNNNNNNNNNNNNNNNNNNNNNNNNNNNNNNNNNNNNNNNNNNNNNNNNNNNNNNNNNNNNNNNNNNNNNNNNNNNNNNNNNNNNNNNNNNNNNNNNNNNNNNNNNNNNNNNNNAAAGAAAUCCAGAGGAAAUCUCUGUCCAAACACCCACAAACACCCAAACACUCAUUCUCUUUUCUAUUCCGCAAAAUCUCUCAUUCUUGGUUACUAAAUCUCUCAUUCUGGUUACUCUAUUCUCUUGGCUAAUUAUUCUCAAAAUCUUGGUUACUCAUACUCUCAUUCUGGUUACAAAUACUCUUAUGAACCUUGUUGGUUCUUGAAGGCACAACACAAUGCUUGAAGUUAGAACCAAUGGCCAUCAAGCUUUGGAGACCACAAGGAUGUUCUUUCUAGCGAGUCAAAGCUUGGAAGAUCAAGGGAAAACCCGCGAGGCUUACCGAGGGUGAAUGCUAUGGUUGAGGUUCUUGUGGAGACGCCUAAUGGAAAGGCAAGCUGGUGGAAAGUGAUGAAUCAACUCAAGACAUGUGUGUUAGCGUCACGUUGUUGGAGUUCAAGAUUGGAUGUGCACUAGGUGUCAAUUAUACUAGGCACAAGGUUUCUUGACUCAAGGGAUGGCCCAAGCCAUAGAAAACUCAAGUUAUUGGUUCCCAAGAUGAUUCAACAUCUUGGUUACGAAGUCACAAAUUCUUGUUAUAUUCUCGGCAAGAAGCAAAGUCUCUGUCGAAGCGUCUUAAAGAUCGACUCGUACGAAGGCCUUUCACUGUGAUUCAGCUCCAAUGUCCUUCAUACAAGUUCUUGGAAAUUGAGUAAGCUUUCCAGUGGAAGUAAAAUCAUCCGGAUACGAGCAGGCGUUAAGAAGUUAUGACCCAUUCAGUGGGAACAUAUCAUUCUGACGCGAAUAAGAAGAAGCAAUCGACCAUGAAGGUCGGUUAAGAGAUCGAUUGGCCAUUGAAUGGCAACGAACAAAGCUUCCAAUGAAGCCAAAUUGAAGUCAAGAAGUGUUCUAUCUCUCCUAAGCUUCAAGGGAAGCUACAAAGAAGAAAGAAAGAAGAAAGAAGCGGCUGGAGAAGAAGUCUCCAAGCCGACCAUGAGCUCUCGACCGAUCGAUCCCUCCAUUUUCAUCAUCGAGACCGAUCGAUCUCUCCAUCAUCGAGACCGAGUUGUCUCGACCGAUCGACCAUGAGCUCUCGACCGAUCGAUCUCUUCAUCUCCAUCAUCGACACCGAGCUCUUGACCGAUCGACCGAUCGACCAUGAGCUCCCGACCGAUCGAUCAGCUGUGUCCGGGUCUUGACCGUACGUCCAUACAUUCGCCAACCAUGAAGCUCAUCCAAAGUUGGAUGUAGAAGAGGUGGAUUGAGUUCUAGUAGUCAUCAACCAUGAAGAGGAGACCAAUGGGCAGAAACUCAAAUGGUGAUGCAAACCAAGUCUCAUCCAACCAUUUACAACAAAGAAGACAAAAGGCUAAUUCUAAACCUUACUCUUUAAAUUUUGUUGAUUAGAUUACUCAUUUUUGAACUUGAAAUUGCAUGAUGAUCAUAAUUGGAGUUUCAUUGUUUAAAAUGAUUUUAGGUGUUGAUUGUGAUUUGAAUUGUUAAGUUGACAAAAUAUGAUUAGUGUUAGUCAUAUUUUUGAUUUAGAUUUAUCAAGGUUGAAUUUAUUUACAUUUAAAUUCUCUUUUCAAAUAUUUCUUUAAUUCAGUUUUGAGGUUUUUGAAAAUGGUAGCAAUAUUUCUAAAAUCGAUUUAAAAUUACUUUUAAAGUUGAAAAUAUUUUAAAAUAUUUUUUCAAACGAUUUUUAUUAUUUUUAAAAGGUGAAAAAUAGUUUUAUAAGUACUUUAUAAGGUUUUUAAAAGCUUAAUACCAGUUUUUAAAAUUAUUUCCAUGACAUUAGUCAAUUUGUUAAAAUCUGUUUUAUGAACUGAAUUUGAAAUUGGAUUUUAGCUUGUUUUAAAAACAGCAUUUCAUGUUUAUUAUUUGAUUUAUAUUCUUGUAGUUCAAUUUAAGUUUGUUCUCCAUGUCUCAUCUAAGCUUAAUGUUACUUUUAUGGCAAAUAUACUUAAGGUUUAUUUAUAUCUUUUGAUUGAAGGUGUAAAAGAGAAAGAAAGCCAUAGAGAAACUAGAUGAGAAGAAGAGAACCGGUUAGAUCAUGGAAGCUAUGGUACGGAAAGGGAAGAAGCAAGGCUAAUGGUGGCUUGACUAAACAAAGGAAGAUCAAUCCAUGGUGGUGACUGAAAGGAGGAGUUCCUUAAGCGAGUACACACACGUAGGAUUAGAGUCUCAACAAGAAGUCAAAGCAAGAAGCCUAAGCAAACCCGCAUACAAACCAUGACCAUAGCUACAUCAUUCAACCAUGAAGGCUAUACUCUUUUUCCCUUAGCAAAGUUUUAUCCCAAGUGGUUUUCUUUGCUAAGGUUUUUAACGAGGUAGUCCUUUAUGUGUUGCAAGCUUGGUCUUUGGUCCCCAACGUCCAAGCUUGAGGGGGAGUAUUGAGAGGAAGAAGCUAAUGGGAAAGCUCAAGUCCGAAGUCUAGAAGACUAGGGCGAGUUCAUGUGGUUCAAGGAGUGAUACUUGAUCAUGCUCAUUUACGUCCAAGCUUAACCUCCAUCCCUUCCGGUCAAGCUUGAGGGGGAGUAUUGAAAUAAAUGAGCACAAGUCAAGAAGGUACUGAACUCGAUGGGAAGAAGUGAUGAAAGAAGCUAGAUCAUACAUCCGGUGGUUUGAUCAUAAGUGCAUUCAACGCAUGUCGUACGGACUUUGUGAUCAAAGUAAAUGGGUUAUCAUGGAUAUAAGAAGAAGCUUAAGAGUGUGAAGGCUGAAGGCAAGUAGUACAAAUGAAGACAUGAGCUAUCGUCCAUGAGUUGUUGUGAUUAACAACAAGGGACCGAUCGAUCUAUAUACUAGAACGAUCGGUCCGAAGGAACUCCAUCCAUGAUCGACCAUACGACCGACCAAGAGACCGAUCGGUCGUCAAUCGGGAUCGAUCCUUGGUCGAGAGAUGGGAUCGACCGUUCAUCGAUCCGGGAUCGAGAAAUCCAUCCGUCCGGGAUCGAGAAAUCCAUCCGUCCGGGAUCAAGAAAUCCAUCCGUCCGGGAUCGAGAAAUCCUUCCGUCCGUACAAGCCCAUCCGAACAAGCCCGUCCGUACAAGUCCGUCCGUACAACAUCGUUUUGUUUCAUCAAGCCUCAUCCUCUAGGCCCAUGAACGACCUCGCAAGAAGCCCUACCAAGGUUACAAGAAGCUGAACUAAAGACCUAGAACCUUCCCUUGCACAAUAUAACCGUUGGAGCUUAAAAACAAGGAAGGAUCACAUGUUGGCUUAAGGAACAACACCCAAAGCACCUGUCGCUUUCUCUUCUCUUUAGUGAUGAUAUUUUGGCUUUAAGUGAGUGUCUUUGAAGCUCAUAACCGUUGAUAUUAGGUUUAGAAGGGAUACUCUUAUCCCAUUUACACAUUGUAUAAAUAUGUAACUCAUAUGUUCUAAUAAAGAAAAGCUCUCUUUUGGGAGUCUUCCACUUUAUACAAAUCGUCUUCUAUACUUACAAAUGGGUAGAUUAGAGUCUAAAUAAUCUCAUGGAGAGACCGAGCUUUGGCAAUGCUUGGUCUCUACCUUUCUUUCAUUCGAUUCUCUUCACCAUUCUCUAAACGAUUCUAUAAGGGGUUUUGUGUUCUGUUUUGGUGUGAGAGAGCUGCUGCCUCUCAUACUUAUUCUUGAGUAUACACAGCUCAUAUUGGCGUGUAUAACUCUUUAUUCUACUGAAGAACAGCUCUCAUUGAGCUCGUUUCUUUGUUGUUAUACACAAGAGCACACAAAGUCAGAUUUGGUGUUCUUGUGAGUCUCUUGUGAGUUUUAUGGAGAUGAAUAGAUCUUGCAGCUCAUUCUCUUUGAAAUCUUACA